UACGUAGGGUGCGAGCGUUAAUCGGAAUUACUGGGCGUAAAGCGUGCGCAGGCGGUUUUGUAAGCCAGAUGUGAAAUCCCCGGGCUCAACCUGGGAAUGGCAUUUGGGACUGCAAGGCUUGGAGUGCGGCAGAGGAGACUGGAAUUCCUGGUGUAGCAGUGAAAUGCGUAGAUAUCAGGAGGAAUACCGAUGGCGAAGGCGGUAGUCUGGGCCGGUACUGACGCUGAGGAGCGAAAGCGUGGGGAGCGAACAGG
rnacentral:rRNA from 1 species